GAUGAACGCUGGCGGCGUGCCUAAUACAUGCAAGUCGAGCGAACAGACGAGGAGCUUGCUCCUCUGACGUUAGCGGCGGACGGGUGAGUAACACGUGGAUAACCUACCUAUAAGACUGGGAUAACUUCGGGAAACCGGAGCUAAUACCGGAUAAUAUAUUGAACCGCAUGGUUCAAUAGUGAAAGACGGUUUUGCUGUCACUUAUAGAUGGAUCCGCGCCGCAUUAGCUAGUUGGUAAGGUAACGGCUUACCAAGGCGACGAUGCGUAGCCGACCUGAGAGGGUGGUCGGCCACACUGGAACUGAGACACGGUCCAGACUCCUACGGGAGGCAGCAGUAGGGAAUCUUCCGCAAUAGGCGAAAGCCUGACGGAGCAACGCCGCGUGAGUGAUGAAGGUCUUCGGAUCGUAAAACUCUGUUAUUGGGGAAGAACAAAUGUGUAAGUAACUAUGCACGUCUUGACGGUACCUAAUCAGAAAGCCACGGCUAACUACGUG
rnacentral:rRNA from 1 species